CCUCGACACAAUCUAACGCUAAAAAGGCGAUACGAGUCCACCGUCAACUCCGACGGCACCCAACAGUCCGGAACAGCCUGAACUCUACUAUAAAAAUACACUCGGCAUCCCAGCACGAGCGUAACUAAAAAUUAAACUACCUGAAAUAUUCACUAUGAGGAUACUGCAACAGUAUAAAAUAAUACAACGGCCCCUAGGCUAAAUCAGGUAGUUUAACAUAUGCCAGGUCCCGAAAGCCGGUUUUCUCCUGUGUCAAAUCCAGGUCCAACAUGUAUAAUUUAUUUAUAAAAAUAGGCUCCAAUUUCAGUUUAGAUGAAAACAACAUUUACAAAUAUGAAACUGAGCUAAAACAAUAGUAAUGUGUAAUACUAACAAUACAUGUUGACCAACAAGACUAUACGAGUAGGAAUCCGAUGAUAAACCCACCUCGAAAGGUAAAUCCAAUCCGGCGCGACGUCGAGAACGGCGGAAACGCACCCUCGUCCAGCCUCCUCGUGAUGCUACGACUGCAACCGUAUCCUCGAACGGCUUUGCGGCGCGACGUCAAUGUCGAAUCCGAGCUCCUCGGCUACCUCUACCCGUGCUCUCCACCAUGCACGUAAUUAACUAGAGAGAACAAAAAAAAAUGCACACUCUCUGUUAAUUUGAAGAGAUAAACAUGAAAAGGGUGGUGGCAUCCUUAUCCAAAAAAAUGACCACUAUGCCCCUAGACCAACUCAAAAUGAAGGGUAUUACAUCCUCCCCCACUAUAAAAAGUUUCGUCCUCGAAACUUAAAACAUAUCUCAAACCUGAGUCUCGAACAAGUAGGGAUAGGACUCCCGCAUCACCAUCUUCGGCUCCCAGGUUGCCUUCCGUUCCUCAUGAUUGCUCCACUACACUUUCACAUACGGGAUGUCCCGGUUGCGCAAUUCUUUCGUCUCCCGAGCAAGAAUCCGCAACGGUCGCUCCUCGUAUCUCAGAUCCUCGCCAAUCUCUAGUGGAGUGAAAUCGAUCACGUGAGAAGGAUCGAAAAUAUAUCUCCUCAAUGCUGAGACGUUGAAGACAUCGUGAAUGCCAGCUAGUCACGGGGGUAGAGCGAUCCUGUAAGCAACUGGUCCAACUCGCUCCAAUACCUCAAAAGGGCCAACAAAGCGUGGACUGAGCUUUCCACGCACUCCAAAUCGGCAAAUCCCUCUGGACGGCGAGACUUUAAGAAAUACAUGAUCUCCAACCUGGAACUCUAAGUCUCGUCUCCUGGUAUCGGCGUAGCUCCUCUGGCGGCACUGGGCUGUCAAAAGGUGUCGUCGAACAACUCUCACCUUUUCCUCAGCCUCUAGCAAAAUCUCAGGCCCAAGUGUCUUCCUCUUACCCACAUCACUCUAAAACAACGGGGAUCGACAUCUGCGUCCAUACAACGCCUCAAACGGAGCUAUCUGGAUGCUCGUUUGAUAGCUGUUGUUGUACGCAAACUCAACCAGUCUCAAAUGUCGAUACCACCCUCCUCCAAAAUCCAGGACACAUGCCCUCAGCAUGUUCUCUAGAGUCUGAAUGGCCCUCUCUGACUGACCAUCUGUCUGUGGGUGGAACGCUGUGCUAAAAUGCAACUGAGUGCCCAAGGCUGUCUGUAGACUCCUCCAAAACUGAGAUACAAACCUCGGGUCUCUGUCUGAUACAAUCGACACUGGCACGCCGUGCAGCCUGACGAUCUCAUCCAGGUAUAGAUGCGCGAGUCUCUCUCUGGACCAGAUGGUCUGAACCGAUAAGAAGUGAGCAGACUUGGUCAGUCUGUCCACUAUCACCCAAAUCGCAUCAAAGCCACCCUGCGCUCUAGGCAAUCUCACGACAAAGUCCACCGUAAUCUUCUCCCACUUUCACUCGACACUGGCAGACUCUGAAGCUUGCCAGCAGGUACCUGAUGCUCGGCCUUCACCUAUUGGCAAGUCAAAUACUGAGCCACAUACCGGCCAAUGCCUCUCUUCAUUCCAUUCCACCAAAACUGUGCCUUCAAGUCCUUAUACAUCUUGGUUUCACUUGGGUGAACCGUAUAAGGAGAACAAUGAGUCUCUCUCAAGAUGUCCUCUUGGAUCCCUAAAUCCACCGGCACACACAGUCGGUCCCUAUACCGCAGUACUCCCGAACUGUCAACAGAAAAACCCUCAGCCUGUCCCCUAUGUAGCUGCUCUCGAAUCCUCGUCAAGUACGGAUCUCCACUCUGUUUCUCUCGGAUCCUAUCCAACAGAGUGGGCUGCAAGACCAGAGACAUUAGUCUCGCAGUAGACCCAGGGGAUAUUAUCUCAAGCCUCAGCCGCUGGAGCUCCUCAAGUAACGGUCUCUGCUCAGUGAUCAUCACACUCAGGCUCUGCACUGACUUCCUGCUCAACGCAUCUGCCACUACAUUCGCCUUACCGGGAUGAUACUGAAUACUAAUGUCAUAGUCCUUCAGUAACUCCAACCACCGGUGCUGCCUCAGGUUCAGCUCCCUCUGUGUGAACAGAUACUUGAGACUUUUAUGAUCCGUAAAAAUCUCGCAGUGCUCGCCGUACAAGUAAUGUCGCCACAACUUCAAAGCAAAGACUACCGCGGCAAGCUCCAAGUCAUGCGUAGGGUAAUUCUUCUCAUAAUCCUUUAACUGCCGUGAUGCAUAAACAAUUACCCUACCAUGCUGCAUCAACACACAACCCAGUCCACUGUGCGAUGCAUCAUUGUAGAUCACAAAUCCUUCCCCCAUCACAGGAAGGGCAAGGAUAGGAGCUGACGUCAACCUUUGUCGCAACUCAUCAAAGCUCCUCUGACAAUCCUCACUCUAGAUGAAUCUAAUCCCCUUUCGCGUCAAUCGAGUGAGGGGUGUGGAAAGCUUCGCAAAGCCUUCCACAAACCGACGGUAAUAUUCUGCUAAUCCAAGGAAACUCCUCACCUCUGUCACCGUCACCGAUCUGGGCCAACCCCGAAUAACAUCAAUCUUCUUCGGGUCCACUGCUACUCCCUCUGCUGAUAUCACAUGGCCCAAGAAAGCAACCUCUCGUAACCAGAACUCGAACUUCUUCAACUUGGCAUACAACUUCUUCUCUCGCAGAAGUUGUAGCACAAUUCUCAAGUGCUCCUCAUGCUCAGCAUCACUCCGGGAGUAAAUCAGGAUAUCGUCGGUAAAGACUACCACAAAUCUAUCCAAGAACGACUUAAACACUCUGUUCAUCAAAUCCAUGAAUGCUGCAGGGGCAUUCGUCAAUCCAAAAGGCAUCACCGUUAACUCAUAAUGCCCGUACCGAGUCCGAAAAGCCGUCUUGGGAACAUCCUCGGCCCUUACCCUCAAUUGGUGGUAACCUGACUGGAGAUCAAUCUUCGAAAAGACAUAAGAUCCCUGCAGCUGAUUAAACAGAUCAUCAAUGCGCGGCAAGGGAUACUUAUUCUUGAUGGUCACUUUAUUCAGCUCCCGGUAGUCCACACACAGCCUAAGUAAACCAUCAUUCUUCUUCACAAACAACACCGGCGCUCCCCAAGGCGAAACAUUGGGUCUCACAAACCCUCUAUCCAUCAAAUCCUGAAGCUGUGCCUUUAGCUCUCUCAGCUCUGCUGGCGCAAUCCGAUAAGGUACCUUUGAGAUUGGUGCAGUUCCAGGAACUACAUCAAUCACAAACUCAAUCUCCCUCUCCGGCGGCAACGUCGUCAACUCAGGAGGAAACACAUCUAGAAACUCAUGGACUAUAGGGAUAUCCUCGAGUCCCGGCGCCGCCGUAGGUACCUCCACAACUGCCGCUAAGAAAGCGAUACACCCACUACUCAGCAUCUGUCGAGCUCUCGCCGAAGAUAUCCAGGUGGCAAACAACGUACUACUACAGCCUCUGAAAGUGAACUCCUUCUGGCUUGGCUCGCGGAAUGUCACCGUCCUCGCUCCACAAUCGAUCGUAGCAUAGUACCGCGUCAACCAAUCCAUACCGAGCACGAUGUCAAAGCCCUGCAGCUGCCCUAACACCAACAGGUCUGCGGCAUAAACCACGAAUCUAACUGCACCGGACACGACCAACAACACUCCGCAGUCUGUAACACAUGGUCGGGGAUCUGCACCUCUCGUGUCAAAGACAACGACCCUAACUCUAGACCAUAUAACAGUGCAAAUACUUGGCUAACAAAAGAAUGCGAGGCACCGGUAUCAACUAAAGUACGACUACAUAUGCCAAAAAUCAAAAUGAUACCUGCCACCAUACGGUCGGCUGCUGAAGAGUCCUCCCGAUGGUAACUCGGUAGUACUCCAAAAGUCUGCUGGUCAGCUGGCUGCGCUGAUGCAAUGGAUAGUGCUGGAAAUGUCGCUCUAGGACACGCUGACCUCACAUGUCCUGGCUGUCCACAAGUGUAGCAGCGACCCUCUUUCUGCUCACAUUGUCGGGGCCAGUGUGGUCCUCCAUAAAUCACGCACCGCAGCGUCCUCGGUGACGGUCCCUGCUGAAGCAAUCCCCUGGAAAGCUGACGCCCCGAUGAACCACGACCCUAAGAGCAAGAUCGAGAAAGCCUCAGCGGACGUCUGCUACUCGCCUGUCCUCCAUCAUCUGGAAAAGGGCGCUUCCUGUCUUGGCUCUGCCCCGGUGCCAUAGUCCGCUCCUAGAUGGGUGUAACUCCGUGUCCCACCAAGAGUACCUGCUGCACAGAUGCUCCUGUCUCAACUCCUGACCACUGAGUGAUAAUCUCAUAAAUUCUCUGCAAUAGUACACUCUGCUGCUUGAUCACUGUCAGGGCAGCCAACUGCUCUCUCAAAUCAGGGGGUACACUUGCCUCCGGUCGUGCACUCGGCUCUGCCUGGUCGGGCAUCUCUAGCGGUGCGACUUGAUCCCUGGUCGACGGUCAACCUCGGCAGCAAUCAGAACGAAACAAAACGGGGUCAAAUACAACUCAAACACUCUCGACCCAAUCAAUGAAAGUCUAGAAAGCAACCCCUGUUUUCCUCUAAAAUUAUGUCGUCUGCAGUCAACAUAAUUUCUCAGGCCAAAACAGGUACUCCUUCAAUCACUCACCCCACUCUCGGAGGAGUUAGAACAACUAAUCAUUGACUUUCGCAAUUAGAUUACGCCUCUCACUUCUUGCUUUCCUAAGGUUUGCCAAACUUAGGUUCUCUAGGUCCCAACGACCGAAUGCUAAACUCUGAUACCAACUUAAUCUGUCACGCCCCGGAUUACAGUUCCCCGGACACGCCGACAAAUCCGCCGUAUACAAAGGAAUUUUCCCUGUAUACGAAGCGACAGUUGUACCUGUAAAACAUACAAUACUACAAACAGUAAUAUAGAGCUGCUAGAAGAACUAGUAAAGUAAAAGAAACCGAGUUCCAUAUACAUACACUGAAUCCCAGAGUACAAAGCUACUCGCGCUGGCGAGUUAAAAGUCUGUAUGUACAUGAACCCAAACCAAAACAUCUACCUGCAGUAGGGGUGCAUCUAGCUCUGCUCCUCGGGUAGGGCUCUAACUCGUGAUGCCCUUGCCUAGCUCCUGACCAGCAACAGCAGCAGCCGAAGACGAAGGCUCUGCAAAAACGGGAUAACAACUGGACGUGAGAACUACUGUAGAAACAAGUAGUCCUCAGUGGGUGCCGCCCUCAACAAUCAUCGGUCCAGCCACUAAGUCUACAGAAGGUAACAAGGCUAACAGGAAAAGCUGGAAAGAAAUCUACAGCUACAUAUCGCUACACUAGCAUGAUCUACACUAAACAACUGUAGUAAAAGUCAAAACUGACUCAAUUUCACUAGGAACUGUGAACACACCCGUCCCGCCUGCCGGAUCGAACCCGUAUCCUACUCCAGGAAUAGCUGGUGGAGAAAACUCUCUAGGGACUGUGAAUACACCCGUCCCGCCUAAUUAGGUGACACCGUAGCUCAAGAAUAACCGGCGGAGAAAACUCUCUGGAGACUGUGAAUACACCCGUCUCGUCUACUAGAAUACGCCGUAUCUCAAGAGUAAUCGGCGGAGAAAACUCUCUAAAGACUGUGAAUACACCCGUCUCACCUAAUUAGACUACACCAUACCUCGAGAGUAGUCGGUCCCAGAAAAAGGUCCAACAUGAUGGUUAAGACUCCACUCACGUCACAACCUCACUAAAGGUAGAGAAAAACGUCACUCACUAUCUCACCCGGGCUACCCAAAACGGACCCACCCUGCCUGUAUCUAGCUGCGCCGUACACCACCCCGAGGGUAACCGGCUCAAGAACUGUCGAACAGAAACUGCGACACUCAUCGCACUGAAACCUCAUUCCGGAAUGGCAUUCGCGGGCGCGACCCAACGAGUUUAUAAGUAUCUCUGUCAAGUUCAUACCGCUCUCACAGGCUAAGUCAAGUAACCGACUCUAACUGGUCUAACAACCAACAGGUAAAGUGCCCUCGGCACAAUCUAACGCCAAAAAGGCGAUACGAGUCUACCGUCAACUCCGACGGCACCCAACAGUCCGAAAUAGCCUGAACGCUACUAUAAAAAUACACUCGGCAUCCCAGCACGAGCGUAACUAAAAAUUAAACUACCUGGAAUACUCACUAUGAGGAUACUGCAACAGUAUAAAAUAAUACAACGGUCCCUAGGCUAAAUCAGGUAGUUUAACAUAUGCCAGGUCCCGAACACGGGUUUUCUCCUAUGUCAAAUUCAGAUCCAAUAUGUAUAAUUUAUUUAUAAAAAUAGGCUCCAAUUUCAGUUUAGAUGAAAACAACAUUUACAAAUAUGAAACUGAGCUAAAACAAUAGUAAUGUGUAAUACUAACUAUACAUGUCGACAAACAAGACUAUAUGAGUAGGAAUCCGAUGAUAAACUCACCUCGAAAGCUAAAUCCAAUCUGGCGCGACGUCGAGAAUGGCGGAAACGCACCCUCGUCCAGCCUCCUCAUGAUGCUACGACUGCAACCGUAUCCUCGAACGGCUUUGCGGCGCGACGUCGAUGUCGAAUCCGAGCUCCUCGGCUACCUCUAUCCGUGCUCUCCACCAUGCACGUAAUUAACUAGAGAGAACAAAAAAAAAUGCACACU
rnacentral:lncRNA from 1 species